UAUGACGAUGGACAUUGCAAAGAGUGGCGAACGGGUGAGUAACACGUGGGAAACCUACCUCUUAGCAGGGGAUAACAUUUGGAAACAGAUGCUAAUACCGCAUAAAACCUAGCACCGCAUGGUGCAAGGUUGAAAGAUGGUUUCGGCUAUCACUUUAGGAUGGACCCGCGGUGCAUUAGUUAGUUGGUGGGGUAAAGGCUUACCAAGACAAUGAUGCAUAGCCGAGUUGAGAGACUGAUCGGCCACAUUGGGACUGAGACACGGCCCAAACUCC
rnacentral:rRNA from 1 species